rnacentral:rRNA from 1 species
GUGGGGAAUCUUGCGCAAUGGGCGAAAGCCUGACGCAGCCAUGCCGCGUGGAUGAUGAAGGUCUUAGGAUUGUAAAAUCCUUUCACCGGUGAAGAUAAUGACUGUAGCCGGAGAAGAAGCCCCGGCUAACUUCGUGCCAGCAGCCGCGGUAAUACGAAGGGGGCUAGCGUUGCUCGGAUUUACUGGGCGUAAAGGGCGCGUAGGCGGACAUUUAAGUCAGGGGUGAAAUCCCGGGGCUCAACCUCGGAACUGCCUUUGAUACUGGGUGUCUUGAGUAUGAGAGAGGUGUGUGGAACUCCUAGUGUAGAGGUGGAAUUCGUAGAUAUUAGGAAGAACACCAGUGGCGAAGGCGGCUCACUGGUCCGGUACUGACGCUGAGGUGCGAAAGCGUGGGGAGCAAACAGGAUUAGAUACCCCGGUAGUCC